GAUCAUGGCUCAGGAUGAACGCUGGCGGCAUGCCUAAUACAUGCAAGUCGAACGGAGCCUUUCGGGGCUCAGUGGCGAACGGGUGAGUAACACGUAGGUAACCUGCCCAUGUGCCCGGGACAACAGCUGGAAACGGCCGCUAAAACCGGAUAGGUAUCGAGGAGGCAUCUCCUGGAUAUUAAAGGGGCUUUCGGGCCCUGAACAUGGAUGGACCUGCGGUGCAUUAGCUGGUUGGUGCGGUAACGGCGCACCAAGGCGACGAUGCAUAGCCGACCUGAGAGGGCGAACGGCCACAUUGGGACUGAGACACGGCCCAAACUCCUACGGGAGGCAGCAGUAGGGAAUUUUCGUCAAUGGGGGGAACCCUGAACGAGCAAUGCCGCGUGAGUGAAGACGGUCUUCGGAUUGUAAAGCUCUGUUGCGAGAGAAAAAGGACGGGGUCAGGAAAUGGGCCCCGGAUGAUGGUAUCUCGCCAGAAAGUCACGGCUAACUACGUGCCAGCAGCCGCGGUAAUACGUAGGUGGCGAGCGUUAUCCGGAAUGAUUGGGCGUAAAGGGUGCGUAGGCGGCACGAUCAGUCUGGAGUGAAAGGCUGCAGCUCAACUGCAGUAUGCUCUGGAAACUGUCGAGCUAGAGUACAGAAGAGGGCGAUGGAACUCCAUGUGUAGCGGUAAAAUGCGUAGAUAUAUGGAAGAACACCGGUGGCGAAGGCGGUCGCCUGGUCUGCUACUGACGCUGAAGCACGAAAGCGUGGGGAGCAAAUAGGAUUAGAUACCCUAGUAGUCCACGCCGUAAACGAUGAGAACUAAGUGUUGGGGGAAUAACUCAGUGCUGCAGUUAACGCAAUAAGUUCUCCGCCUGGGGAGUAUGCACGCAAGUGUGAAACUCAAAGGAAUUGACGGGGGCCCGCACAAGCGGUGGAGUAUGUGGUUUAAUUCGAAGCAACGCGAAGAACCUUACCAGGCCUUGACAUCCCCGGCGAAGGUAUAGAGAUAUACUGGAGGCUAACCGGGAGACAGGUGGUGCAUGGUUGUCGUCAGCUCGUGUCGUGAGAUGUUGGGUUAAGUCCCGCAACGAGCGCAACCCUUGUGAUAUGUUACCAGUAUUAAGUUAGGGACUCAUAUAUGACUGCCGGUGACAAACCGGAGGAAGGUGGGGGUGACGUCAAAUCAUCAUGCCCCUUAUGGCCUGGGCUACACACGUACUACAAUGGCGUAUACAAAGAGCAGCGAUACAGUGAUGUAGAGCGAAUCUCAUAAAGUACGUCCCAGUUCGGAUUGAAGUCUGCAACCCGACUUCAUGAAGUUGGAAUCGCUAGUAAUCGCGAAUCAGCAUGUCGCGGUGAAUACGUUCUCGGGCCUUGUACACACCGCCCGUCAAACCAUGGGAGUCAGUGAUACCCGAAGCCGGUGGCCCAACCUGUAUAGGAGGGAGCCGUCGAAGGUAGGACCGAUGACUGGGGUU
rnacentral:rRNA from 1 species